AGAUGUGAGGGCAAUCUGACGGCAUCAUCUGUCACCCCAUUGAUCACCAGGGUUGAUUUCAGCUGAUCUGGCUGCCUAGGCAGGUGUCCCCUUCCUCCCUCACCGCUCCAUGUGCGUCCCUCCUGGAAGCUGCUCACUAGAUCAGAGAGGACGGCCUUCCUCGAAUAGAGAUGGACCAGUCUUCUAUCGAGGGUAUAUGAGUCACUGCACUCCCCUGCUAGAACCUCCAAACAAGCUUUCAAGAACAGAAAAGCUUCCAAUGGAGGGGAUGGGAUUUGGAACUCUGGUGGUGGGAAUUGCACCCCUCUUUUC
rnacentral:snRNA from 1 species